rnacentral:rRNA from 1 species
UGGGGAAUUUUGGACAAUGGGGGCAACCCUGAUCCAGCAAUGCCGCGUGUGUGAAGAAGGCCUUCGGGUUGUAAAGCACUUUUGUCCGGAAAGAAAACGUCGUGGUUAAUACCCGUGGCGGCUGACGGUACCGGAAGAAUAAACACCGGCUAACUACGUGCCAGCAGCCGCGGUAAUACGUAGGGUGCAAGCGUUAAUCGGAAUUACUGGGCGUAAAGCGUGCGCAGGCGGUCCGCUAAGACAGAUGUGAAAUCCCCGGGCUUAACCUGGGAACUGCAUUUGUGACUGGCGGGCUAGAGUAUGGCAGAGGGGGGUUAGAAUUCCACGUGUAGCAGUGAAAUGCGUAGAGAUGUGGAGGAAUACCGAUGGCGAAGGCAGCCCCCUGGGCCAAUACUGACGCUCAUGCACGAAAGCGUGGGGGAGCAAACAGGAUUAGAUACCCUGGUAGUCCACG